rnacentral:rRNA from 1 species
UGGGGAAUAUUGCACAAUGGGCGAAAGCCUGAUGCAGCGACGCCGCGUGCGUGAAGCAGUAUCUCGGUAUGUAAAGCUCUAUCAGCAGGGAAGAAAAUGACGGUACCUGACUAAGAAGCCCCGGCUAACUACGUGCCAGCCGCCGCGGUAAUACGUAGGGGGCAAGCGUUAUCCGGAUUUACAGGGUGUAAAGGGAGCGUAGACGGCGAAGCAAGUCUGAAGUGAAAACCCAGGGCUCAACCCUGGGACUGCUUUGGAAACUGUUUUGCUAGAGUGUCGGGGAGGUAAGUGGAGUUCCUAGUGUAGCGGUGAAGUGCGUAGAUAUUAGGAGGAACACCAGUGGGGAAGGCGGCUUACUGGACGAUAAAUGAAGUUGAGGCUCGAAAGCGUGGUGAGCAAACAGG